GAUUGAGUUUGAUCCUGGCUCAGAUUGAACGCUGGCGGAAUGCUUUACACAUGCAAGUCGAACAGCAGCACGGGAGCUUGCUCCUGGUGGCGAGUGGCGAACGGGUGAGUAAUGCGUCGGAACGUGCCGAGUAAUGGGUGAUAACGCAGCGAAAGUUGUGCUAAUACCGCAUACGCCCUGAGGGGGAAAGUGGGGGACCGCAAGGCCUCACGUUAUUCGAGCGGCCGACGUCUGAUUAGCUAGUUGGUGAGGUAAUGGCUCACCAAGGCGACGAUCAGUAGCGGGUCUGAGAGGAUGAUCCGCCACACUGGGACUGAGACACGGCCCAGACUCCUACGGGAGGCAGCAGUGGGGAAUUUUGGACAAUGGGGGCAACCCUGAUCCAGCCAUUCCGCGUGAGUGAAGAAGGCCUUCGGGUUGUAAAGCUCUUUCAGCUGGAGUGAAACGGUACGCUCUAACAUAGCGUGCUAAUGACGGUACCAGCAGAAGAAGCACCGGCUAACUACGUGCCAGCAGCCGCGGUAAUACGUAGGGUGCGAGCGUUAAUCGGAAUUACUGGGCGUAAAGCGUGCGCAGGCGGAUUGUUAAGCAAGACGUGAAAUCCCCGGGCUUAACCUGGGAAUGGCGUUUUGAACUGGCAGUCUAGAGUGCGUCAGAGGGGGGUGGAAUUCCACGUGUAGCAGUGAAAUGCGUAGAGAUGUGGAGGAACACCGAUGGCGAAGGCAGCCCCCUGGGAUGACACUGACGCUC
rnacentral:rRNA from 1 species